rnacentral:rRNA from 1 species
AGGCUAAAACAGUCAGGAUGUUGGCUUAGAAGCAGCCAUCAUUUAAAGAAAGCGUAAUAGCUCACUGAUCGAGUCGUCCUGCGCGGAAGAUGUAACGGGGCUAAGCCAGUUACCGAAGCUGCGGAUUUGCAAUUUAUUGCAAGUGGUAGGAGAGCGUUCUGUAGGCCUGUGAAGGUGGUGGUGUAAACCCUGCUGGAGGUAUCAGAAGUGCGAAUGCUGACAUGAGUAGCGUUAAAGGGGGUGAAAAGCCCCCUCGCCGUAAGCGCAAGGUUUUCUACGCAACGUUCAUCGGCGUAGAGUGAGUCGGCCCCUAAGGCGAGGCAGAGAUGCGUAGCUGAUGGGAAACAGGUCAAUAUUCCUGUACCGAUGACAAGUGCGAUGUGGGGACGGAGAAGGUUAGCUCAGCCAACUGUUGGAUAUGUUGGUUCAAGCCUGUAGUCGUGCUCGGUAGGCAAAUCCGCCGGGCUUAGAUGAGGGGUGAUAACGAGGGUGCUUGCACCUGAAGUGAGUGAUACCCUGCUUCCAGGAAAAGCCACUAAGCUUCAGCUUGUCAUUGACCGUACCGCAAACCGACACUGGUGCGCGAGAUGAGUAUUCUAAGGCGCUUGAGAGAACUCAGGAGAAGGAACUCGGCAAAUUGAUACCGUAACUUCGGGAGAAGGUAUGCCCCAAGUAGGUGAACUCGAACAGAGGGAGCCCAACGGGGUUGCAAAAAAUCGGUGGCUGCGACUGUUUAAUAAAAACACAGCACUCUGCAAACACGAAAGUGGACGUAUAGGGUGUGACGCCUGCCCGGUGCUGGAAGAUUAAAUGAUGGGGUGCAAGCUCUUGAUUGAAGUCCCAGUAAACGGCGGCCGUAACUAUAACGGUCCUAAGGUAGCGAAAUUCCUUGUCGGGUAAGUUCCGACCUGCACGAAUGGCGUAACGAUGGCCACACUGUCUCCUCCUGAGACUCAGCGAAGUUGAAAUGUUUGUGAUGAUGCAAUCUCCCCGCGGAAAGACGGAAAGACCCCAUGAACCUUUACUGUAGCUUUGUAUUGGACUUUGAACAGAUCUGUGUAGGAUAGGUGGGAGGCUUUGAAGCUGGAACGCUAGUUUCAGUGGAGCCGACGUUGAAAUACCACCCUGGUGUGUUUGAGGUUCUAACCUAGGUCCAUUAUCUGGAUCGGGGACAGUGCAUGGUAGGCAGUUUGACUGGGGCGGUCUCCUCCCAAAGCGUAACGGAGGAGUUCGAAGGUACGCUAGUUACGGUCGGACAUCGUGACGAUAGUGCAAUGGCAUAAGCGUGCUUAACUGCGAGACUGACAAGUCGAGCAGAUGCGAAAGCAGGACAUAGUGAUCCGGUGGUUCUGUAUGGAAGGGCCAUCGCUCAACGGAUAAAAGGUACUCUGGGGAUAACAGGCUGAUACCGCCCAAGAGUUCAUAUCGACGGCGGUGUUUGGCACCUCGAUGUCGGCUCAUCUCAUCCUGGGGCUGUAGCCGGUCCCAAGGGUAUGGCUGUUCGCCAUUUAAAGAGGUACGUGAGCUGGGUUUAAAACGUCGUGAGACAGUUUGGUCCCUAUCUUCCGUGGGCGCUGCAGAUUUGAGGAAGCCUGCUCCUAGUACGAGAGGACCGGAGUGGACACACCUCUGGUGUAUCGGUUGUCACGCCAGUGGCAUUGCCGAGUAGCUAAGUGUGGAAGAGAUAACCGCUGAAAGCAUCUAAGCGGGAAACUCGUUUCAAGAUGAGAUCUGCCGGGGCCUUGAGCCCCCUAAAGAGUCGUUCAAGACCAGGACGUUGAUAGGUCAGGUGUGGAAGCGCAGUAAUGCGUUAAGCUAACUGAUACUAAUUGCUCGUGCGGCUUGACCCUAUAACUUUG